UCCUUUUGACGACUAUUUACCGCGAGCAAUCUGAAAGAAUGAAUGCCCGAUAAUCAUCUGACAAGCCAAUGCACCAUGUCGCUCAAUUACAGAGCUGAGGAGGACCUGUCAGGAGGUUGUGACGAUGAUGCCCUGGAGGAGGGAUGGUGUUUGGUGGCAGAGGAUGCUGGCAAGGCACAAGAUUGCAGCAGAUGAAGAUGGCCUGGCGUUCAAACCUUGGGAAGUGUCGGUUAAAUCCUGUGGCGAGCAGCGGAUGGCUAGAGGGAAUGGAGGGAGCUGUAGCAGAUGAAGGCGGAGGGAUAUGAAGAUAGGUUAAGAGAAAGAGACUAUAAGCCGUUAACGCAGA